rnacentral:snRNA from 1 species
GUGCUCUUUUCACGUAUACUAAAAUUGGAGCUAUACAGAGAACAUUAGCAUGGCGCCUGGACAAAAGAUGAAAAUGCGUGAAGUGGUCCAUAUUUUU